AUACGGAGGAUCCGAGCGUUAUCCGGAUUUAUUGGGUUUAAAGGGUGCGCAGGCGGCCAUUUAAGUCAGCGGUUAAAUCGUGGGGCUCAACCCCAUUCUGCCGUUGAUACUGGGUGGCUUGAUUGCGGUCGAGGUUGGCGGAAUUCGUUGUGUAGCGGUGAAAUGCAUAGAUAUGACGAAGAACACCGAUUGCGUAGGCAGCUGACCAGACCGCAAAUGACGCUCAUGCACGAAAGUGCGGGGAUCGAACAGGAUUAGAUACCCUGGUAGUCCGCACAGUAAACGAUUAAGACUUGUUUUCGGCGAUAUAAUGUCGGAGGCAAAGCGAAAGCGAUAAGUAUUCCACCUGGGGAGUACGCCGACAACGGUGAAACUCAAAGGAAUUGACGGGG
rnacentral:rRNA from 1 species